rfam:Rattus norvegicus chromosome 14, whole genome shotgun sequence.
GGGGAUUUAGCUCAGUGGUAGAGUGCUUGCCUAGCAAGCGCAAGGCCCUGGUUUCAGUCCCCA